rnacentral:tRNA from 1 species
GGGAGCGUGGCGGAAUCGGUAGACGCACCGGACUUAAAAUCCGUUGGCAUUACAAGGCUGUGAGGGUUCAAGUCCCUCCGCUCCCAUCA